CCAGCGAUAAGUGACGAGUUAUCGUAAUUUACAGCAGUGAAAACAUCAUAAGCAAACAUACGAAGCUUUGCAGCAGCUGAACUGAAAAACAGCAGCAGCAGCAGAUGAAGAAGAAGAAGAAAAAGAAGAAGAAGAAGAAGAAGAAGAAGAAGAAGAAGAAGAUACACACUGACAGAAACACAAUGCUUGAGGUCUCUGUAAAUGAUUCCGAGACUGUGAAGGUGAUCGAGCGCCAGGGCGAGUUCAGCCAGCUGAAACAGGUGAAACAGGUGAAACAGGCGUUACCUCCUUGGAGAGCCGAGUGAAGAGAUCUCCUCCUCGGAGAAAAUCCAGGAUCAAGUAAAGCUUCCCCUCCGUCUGAAACGCUGCAGGAAGGAGAGGAAGGAAGGAGAGGAAGGAAGGAAGGAGAGGAAGGAAGGGAGGGAGGAAGAAGAGGAAAGUGAUUUUAGAUAAGAUCUGAGAAGUUCCCGCCUGCUGAACAUUUCCACUGCCAGCUUUGUUGCUCUGCUAGAAGAGGAGCAACGAGCUCUGAUUGGCCGGAGCGGAGCUGGUGACUCAUCAGGGAGGUCUGUUAUUGU